CAAGAAAAGAGAUACCUUAAUAUAGGGAGCCAUUAUAGGUUUAAAGAGAAAUCUGACACUAAGGAAGUGUCCAGAGAUCUACAAAGAUGACCCCAACUAAGAAUCUAAGCAAUAGUUGAGAGCUAUCUUAAAUGCCCUUCACCUAUAAUGAGACUGAUGACUGCCUUAUAUGACAUUCUAGAGCCUUCAUCCAGUAGCUGAUGGAAGCAGAAGCAGAGACCCACAGCUAAACACUGAGAUGAACUCCAGGAAACCAGUUGCAGAGAGGGAGGAGUGAUGAGCAUGCUGCAUUUUUUCAAUCAAGUGGUAUUUAAAGAAACUUCAUCAGUCCUUACAUGGUCCAUGCCUACAAGAAUAUUCCUUAAGCAUACUAAAGGAUGAACCAAAUAGUCUUCAGUGACAUGUCAAAACAACUAUGUAAAUAAAUAAAAAGUAUUACAUUGAAUAAAAGAUGAAAGAUGAGAAGUAUCUGAUAAUUCAAAAGGGGAGCGAUUACUUGAAGGCUUCAAGGUAGAUGUAGAGGACUAAAUUGAAUUUUACAGCAUGAAUCAAGUUCAGAUAAAUGUUUAAUGGAUGAGAAAGGACUUCCAGGCAUAAGGCAAUUAUGAGUGGGAGGACACAGACGGGAAAGAGAUUGAUGAACAAGAAACUGAGGCCCAGUGGCAAG
rnacentral:lncRNA from 1 species